rnacentral:rRNA from 1 species
UACAGAGGUCCCAAGCGUUGUUCGGAUUCACUGGGCGUAAAGGGUGCGUAGGUGGUGGGGUAAGUCGGAUGUGAAAGCUCGGAGCUCAACUCCGAAAUGGCAUUGGAAACUACCCUGCUAGAGGAUUGGAGGGGGGACUGGAAUACUUGGUGUAGCAGUGAAAUGCGUAGAUAUCAAGUGGAACACCAGUGGCGAAGGCGAGUCCCUGGACAUUUCCUGACGCUGAGGCACGAAAGCCAGGGGAGCAAACGGG